rnacentral:snRNA from 1 species
UAAAUAAAUAAAAUUAGAAAAAUACAAAGAUGCUUAGAUUUGCAUGGGCCCUGCUCAAGGAUGACAUAUAAACUCACAAAGUACCCAUAUUUUUU